CCUACGGGAGGCAGCAGUAGGGAAUCUUCCACAAUGGGCGAAAGCCUGAUGGAGCAACGCCGCGUGGGUGAAGAAGGUCUUCGGAUCGUAAAACUCUGUUGGUAGAGAAGAAAGUGCGUGAGAGUAACUGUUCACGUUUCGACGGUAUCUAACCAGAAAGCCACGGCUAACUACGUGCCAGCAGCCGCGGUAAUACGUAGGUGGCAAGCGUUAUCCGGAUUUAUUGGGCGUAAAGGGAGCGCAGGCGGUCUUUUAAGUCUGAUGUGAAAGCCUUCGGCUUAACCGGAGUAGUGCAUUGGAAACUGGGAGACUUGAGUGCAGAAGAGGAGAGUGGAAUUCCAUGUGUAGCGGUGAAAUGCGUAGAUAUAUGGAAGAACACCAGUGGCGAAGGCGGCUCUCUGGUCUGUAACUGACGCUGAGGUUCGAAAGCGUGGGUAGCAAACAGGAUUAGAUACCCUUGUAGUC
rnacentral:rRNA from 1 species